UACGUUCCCGGGCCUUGUACACACCGCCCGUCACACCACGAAAGUCGGCAACACCCGAAGCCGGUGGCCUAACCCGUAAGGGGAGGAGCUGUCGAAGGUGGGGUCGGUGAUUGGGGUG
rnacentral:rRNA from 1 species